GACGAACGCUGGCGGCGCGCUUAACACAUGCAAGUCGAACGGAAAGGCCUGCUUUCCCUUGUGGAUUGCGGGUACUCGAGUGGCGAACGGGUGAGUAACACGUGAGUGAUCUGCCCCCAACUUGGGUAUAAGCCUGGGAAACUGGGUCUAAUUCCCGAUAGGACUGCAGGGUGGUGCCUGUGGUGGAAAACGAUUUUCUAGUGGUUGGGGAUGAGCUCGCGGCCUAUCAGCUUGUUGGUGGGGUAAUGGCCUACCAAGGCGGCGACGGGUAGCCGGCCUGGGAGGGUGGACGGCCACAUUGGGACUGAGAUACGGCCCAGACUCCUACGGGAGGCAGCAGUGGGGAAUAGUGCACAAUGGGCGGAAGCCUGAUGCAGCGACGCCGCGUGGGGGAUGACGGCCUUCGGGUUGUAAACUCCUUCCGACCGCGAGGAAGCCACCUGGUUGGAAGGGUGGUGACGGUAGUGGUAGAAGAAGCACCGGCUAACUACGUG
rnacentral:rRNA from 1 species